rnacentral:rRNA from 1 species
CGAGAGACGGGGUCUAACCGGCCUCAACU